rnacentral:rRNA from 1 species
GAUGAACGCUGGCUACAGGCUUAACACAUGCAAGUCGAGGGGAAACGACGGGGAAGCUUGCUUCCCCGGGCGUCGACCGGCGCACGGGUGAGUAACGCGUAUCCAACCUGCCUCUGACUGAGGGAUAACCCGUCGAAAGUCGGCCUAAUACCUCAUGGCAUCGUCUGCGGGCAUCCAACGACGAUUAAAGAUUUCAUCGGUCAGAGAUGGGGAUGCGUCUGAUUAGCUUGUUGGCGGGGUAACGGCCCACCAAGGCGACGAUCAGUAGGGGUUCUGAGAGGAAGGUCCCCCACAUUGGAACUGAGACACGGUCCAAACUCCUACGGGAGGCAACAGUGAGGAAUAUUGGUCAAUGGGCGAGAGCCUGAACCAGCCAAGUAGCGUGCAGGAUGACGGCCCUAUGGGUUGUAAACUGCUUUUAUGCGGGGAUAAAGUGAGGGACGUGUCCUUCAUUGCAGGUACCGCAUGAAUAAGGACCGGCUAAUUCCGUG